CUUGCACUCAAUUGGAAAGAGGAGUGGCGGACGGGUGAGUAACACGUGGGUAACCUACCCAUCAGAGGGGGAUAACACUUGGAAACAGGUGCUAAUACCGCAUAACAGUUUAUGCCGCAUGGCAUAAGAGUGAAAGGCGCUUUCGGGUGUCGCUGAUGGAUGGACCCGCGGUGCAUUAGCUAGUUGGUGAGGUAACGGCUCACCAAGGCCACGAUGCAUAGCCGACCUGAGAGGGUGAUCGGCCACACUGGGACUGAGACACGGCCCAGACUCCUACGGGAGGCAGCAGUAGGGAAUCUUCGGCAAUGGACGAAAGUCUGACCGAGCAACGCCGCGUGAGUGAAGAAGGUUUUCGGAUCGUAAAACUCUGUUGUUAGAGAAGAACAAGGACGUUAGUAACUGAACGUCCCCUGACGGUAUCUAACCAGAAAGCCACGGCUAACUACGUGCCAGCAGCCGCGGUAAUACGUAGGUGGCAAGCGUUGU
rnacentral:rRNA from 1 species